AGGAAGACACACAGGCUCAAAAUUCUAAGUUCUUUUUCCAGACACCAAUGCAGGACUCUGCCAGGAUCCCCAGGCCACCAGAGGGUUCCACAGAGCACAGAGCGCCCCUGAGUUCCCCCUGCAGGCGGUGGACUUGGGCAGGGCCAAUAUGUCAGCUCCCCCUCUCGGAAAACAGGCAUCCCCUAUUGAGAGGAUUCCAGUGGCUGGUCCCCUAGAUCCCUUCCUGUCAGCUCUGUGCUCCUGUUUAGAGUUUGACUGUCCUCAGGCACUUCUCGGUCUCCAGGCAUUCGCAGAGGUCGUGCACACUGCCUGCAGAACAUGACAAGGCAGCUGACUAAGGCAAGACCUCAAGUGCGACGCGAUGGCAGCCACCAGACCAGCCACUAUGCACCCGAUUGCCGGACGUGAGGGCCACCAGCGCUGGCCUGUCUCCCCACCCCGGAGAUGUGACUAUCGGAAGCCAAUGGCGCAGAGGACCCAGUAAAGCAAGCGCAGUGGCUCUCCUGCACACUAGAGGCCACCACUUGGACCUGAGGCCACCUCCAAGGUGGAGGCUUGGUGCUCGGUCUGGCAGGAGCCCAGCUCAGCGCAAAGGAUACCACAGCCCGGGCUGUGGUGACCAGCACCUUCUGCAGGAGAGCACCAGUGCGCUGCCGCACCAUUGCCCUGCGAGGACGCCAACCCGCAGCGCCAGCCCCACUUUAUUCCUGGGGCCUUGCGCCUCCCGGCGGGGGAGGGGCUACUCGACCCGGGAACUAAGUGGAUGCCUGCGCGACACCCGCAGUCCCGCCUCCUGGGCUCGGCCUCUGAAUGGGAUUGUGGGUAUGCGGGAAAAGCCCUGAGUCAUUGGGUCAGGGAGGGGGCACUGUCACCGGAGCGCCUUUUUCUCCUGCUCUCUGUUUCUAACCCCAAUGACUCUCCUUGCCGCACCCAGGAUCCUGGGUUCAAGGACUUGGCAGGGACACUCCAUGACCAAAGGCCGGGCCUGGACCCGACACACACUCUUUAACUUCAUAGCUUAAAUCUAUUAAUAGUCACCUGUUAGUGUCAGACUGUUCUUUCCACUGCUAAACCAGUAAAAUUCAAAUGUUUAUUCCUAAACGUCGUUUGUGCUGUUCAAGAGUUUUAGUGAGCCUGGACCAAAAUAUUACAAUUUGACUGCACUGCUUUUUUUUUUUUUUUUAAGUGUGUGAAAUAAAUCACUCCCUGAAAAGCCUAAUGAAGUCUAGGAUAAUUUAAAUUUUUUAUAGAACUGCAAGUUUUUGUUGUUGUUGUUGUUGUUUUAAAGAGAGAGAGAGAGAAUUUUUUAAUAUUUAUUUUUUAGUUUUCGGCGGACACAACAUCUUUGUUUGUAUGUGGUACUGAGGAUCGAACCCCGGGCGCAUGCAUGCCAGGCAAGCCGGCUAUGCUUUAGCCACAUCCCCAGCCCAAACUACACGUUCUUUUUGUAAGAUGGUUUUGUAACACCUUUUCUAAACUCUGCAGGUGAUUGGCAUUUCAUCUGCUUUCUUUUCCCACUGUCACGAGCAGCUUCUCAGCCUUGUCUGGUUACCAGGAGUUCCCUUCCGGAUAUCUGCACUGGACCCCGGACCGCGACGUACGCGAACACCAAGCACGAACUCGAUUGCCUUUUGUUUAGUGUUUAUGGAAUUUAGAUAUUGUUGUAACUUUUUUGGACACCAUGUUUUGUAGGGUUUAACUAAAACUUGUGGCCAUCUAGGCAACGGCCUAGCUCCUUGUAAAUGUCUAGGGGAUGGUCUAUUGUGGGGUGGAUCUCUCCGGAAACGUUGCACCGAGGAUGUACAUAGUUCACAUCCAGAUAUCGCACGUUUACAUGUUCCCCAGCCACCCCAUGCACAGGGACCAUCGUCCUCCUAAGGAUUUUGGUGGGGGCACUCCCCUUUCAUUCCACCUUCAGCUUAGACGCCGGACGAUCACGGUCAUUCUAGGUUUUCAGUAGAAGAAAUUGUGCAUUGCCAUGUGGGUUAUAUUUACCUGCUCCGGAGCUCUUCUUCCGUAUCCUGCCGACUACGCCAACUGUCACGAGCAACUUCUCAGCCUUGUCUGGUUACCAGGAGUUCCCUUCCGGAUAUCUGCACUGGACCCCAGACCGCGACGUACGCGAACACCAAGCACGAACUCGAUUGCCUUUUGAAAUGCUGGUUUAUUCACACACCACACAAAGCAAUACACGAGGUGGCUGACUCACACUGCACGAUCUUACUCUCAGGCGAUGAGAGUUGAUUGUGAGCAAAUACAUGGAGUUUCCCUCGCGCUUAUAUACUCUAUAUGUUUACAACAAACUUGUUUAUGUCUAACUUAUCUAACAUAAGCACACUACCUAGUUACAUCAUCAACUUAUCUAACAUGGACAUACUAUCUAGUCAUCCUAUAACCAAAACAUGUUUACAACUAAAAAGUCACUUAGUCACUGCAAAGUCCAAAACAAGUCCAAAACAAAUCCUUUUGCUGAUUCAUGUUGUUUAUUCAUCCUUGAUGUUUACUCCUGUCACCCCCUCAAUUUUCAUUGUUUCUUUAGCAAGGAGUUACUUUCAGAAUGUUGCUCCAUGUUGUCAGUUCUUAAAUACUGUCUUUGUUUUAUUGUUUCAUAAUAGUUAUACAUACAUUCAACUUCAUUUUGACAUAACUAUAAAUGUAUGAAAUAAUUUACUCCAAUCAAGUCCUCAGUAUUUACCUGUACCCUUCCCCUCUUCCCUCCCACUGUUCCCUUUCCACUCCUCUACUGAUCCUCCUGAUUAUUUACUUUUUUUUUCUUUUCUUCUUCUUUUUUUCUUUUUUUUUUUUUUAAGUUAAGGUUUUGCAGUUAUAUAGAAAGGUGAGAUUCAUUGUAGUAUGUUCAUGUAUGUACUUUGGAAACUUAAGUCAGAUUCAUUUCACUCUUUUCCCCUAUCCCAUUCUCUCAAUCCCCUUCUUCUGCUCCCUGCUCUUGCUUUAAUUUUGAUGGAAUUCCCCCACCCUUUUUUUUCCCUGUGUCUCCAUCUGUCUGUCUAUCUUUCUGUCUCUCUCUCUCUGUAUUUGUAUCUGUCUCUAUCUGUCUGUCUCUCUCGCCCCUCUCUUUCAUUUUAGACUACCUUUGACUUUCUGAGUCAUUUAGCAUUAUAGUGUCCAGUACCGACUCAGAGACUUUGUGUAAUUUGGAGAGAGUGCCAUAGUGCAGGAGACAGGCCCUCAGACCAACAGCUACUUCCUAUUUUCCCAGAAGGAACAUCAGGCACUAGGUCAUGGUCUGCCCUUUGGCCUUCACCUUUGGUUUCUUUAUGCCUUUCCCAUGACAUUCUUUACCUGUUGUCCCAGAAUCCAGAGUCCUGCUCACAGAAGGACCCAGUGUCACAGGAGAGUAGGGAGCUCAAGCUCCAACCUCAGGUCUGGUGUCCUCAUAGAGGAUAAUCUAAAGUCAGACAGGAAAAGCCAAGCAAGAGAAUUUUCUUGUAGGAGUGAGAGCACAGUAGGGCUCUGCAGAGAGCUGAGAGAGAGAGUGGGUGGACUCCAGCAGAGAAGGGCAAAGGAACCAGUGCUGCUCCCAACUUGAAUGCUCUUUGCUGUUUACCAGGAGAAGUGGGUUCCUCCUCCUACAGUCUUUACCAAUCAGAUGCUGGUCUGCCCCUUCCCACCUGCUGGAGGAGUUUUUGACCCUAGUGGGUCCUCUCUGGAACUGUCAUGGUGACCAUCCUAUUCAGGGGGGCUGCAUCCACAAGUCAAUCCUAUCUUAAUGCAGGUGCUGGGGUCAGUGAGAGCAGACUUCAUCUUAGUGCAUCUGUGCUAUUAAUGAAAUUUCCCUUAGAAAUACAUUGAGAAACCUAUGGUCACAAAUACUAACUUUACAAUGACCUCAGUAGAUGAUGCCAGGAAUUAGCCUGGGUGAUCUCUUUCUUGACAGUAUUUCUUAAUAGACUCAAUUCAUUUCCAUCUGCUUAUUCUCAGGGUUAGUGCACCUGUUGUUCUGCAAAUUACCUGAUUGUUGUGAAAAAAAAAAUCAAAAAAAUCCCAGGAUCCUGCUGUGUUAUUGGCUCAAAUUUCACUGCUCUUUACUAACUACUACCUGACACUUGGACCUCCUGGUUUCUCUACUAGGUUCAACUUCAUAUGGCUUAGUUAAUCAUCACGAGGGUAUCUGACCCUGAACUAGUCCAUUGAGGUUGCUGAUUGUUCUAAGGAGACAUGCUUAUGUCUGUCAGCAUUUAACCUAAAGACACUGUCCUCUAGGGGACUCAGGAUCCUGCAUGGUUUUGCUUCAGCCCUUAUCCCACUGGGUACAGACAAAUAAGUGUUCCCUUACUGUCCUCACCUGGUAUAAAGGGCAGACUGCUAGGAAAAGAAAAAUUAAAAAUGCAAAUAUGAAUUCAUUUCCCCUCUCUCCAAAUAAGAAAUCAAAACCUUUACUAUGAAGGUGACCAGCUUUCCUGAUCAGUGGAAAUAGGAUUAUGCCACCAGCUCCAGAUAUAGCUCCAUGUUGGGGUGCAUGCAUAAGACCCUGGGCCCAGUGCCCAUCACUAAGCUCUAUAUAAAUGUUUGCGUUUUCUUGUUGCUUUUCCUUGACUGACUGGGAUGAAACAGAGGUUCUCAAGCAUACUACGAAAGUGCUCUCCCCCUGAACUAUAACCCCAUCCCUUUUGAAAUAUCAAACUAAUUUGCCCUGCUGGCCUCAACUUGGCGACUUUCCUGCCUCAGACUCCCAAGUCACUGGGAUUACAGGCAUUGCCACUUCUCAAUGCCCAAUCACUGCAGCAUACAGAGUUGACUGAGGCACCAAAAGGUAAUGUGAGUUAGUUCCAAUCAUCAAGUUAGUGGUUUGAUCCAACUGCACCUGGCCAUUUAGACACUUGAAAGAAAUCUCAUGAUCAGAGAAGUACUCCAUGAGCAGGGUGUGGUGGCACACAUCUGUCAUCCCAGAGAUCCAGAGGCCCAGGAAGGAGGAUUGCAAGUUUGAUCUGAGCCUGGGCAACUUAGUGAGAACCUGUCUCCAAAUAAAAAUUAAAAAAGGACUGGUGAUGCAGCUCAGUGGUAGAGCUCAGUUUAAUCCUCAGUACAAAAAAAAAAAAAAAAAAAAAAAA